rnacentral:rRNA from 1 species
UGCCAGCCGCCGCGGUAAUACAGAGGGUGCAAGCGUUAAUCGGAGUUAUUGGGCGUAAAGGGUGCGUAGGUGGAGUCAUAAGUUAGAUGUGAAAGCCCUGGGCUUAACCUGGGAAUGGCAUUUAAAACUGUGAUUCUAGAGUAGAGUAGAGGUAAGCGGAAUUUCCGGUGUAGCGGUGAAAUGCGUAGAUAUCGGAAGGAACACCUGUGGCGAAGGCGGCUUACUGGGCUCAUACUGACACUGAGGCACGAAAGCGUGGGUAGCGAACAGGAUUAGCUA